rnacentral:rRNA from 1 species
GAUGAACGCUGGCGGCGUGCCUAAUACAUGCAAGUCGAGCGAACAGACGAGGAGCUUGCUCCUCUGACGUUAGCGGCGGACGGGUGAGUAACACGUGGAUAACCUACCUAUAAGACUGGGAUAACUUCGGGAAACCGGAGCUAAUACCGGAUAAUAUAUUGAACCGCAUGGUUCAAUAGUGAAAGACGGUUUUGCUGUCACUUAUAGAUGGAUCCGCGCCGCAUUAGCUAGUUGGUAAGGUAACGGCUUACCAAGGCAACGAUGCGUAGCCGACCUGAGAGGGUGAUCGGCCACACUGGAACUGGGACACGGUCCAGACUCCUACGGGAGGCAGCAGUAGGGAAUCUUCCGCAAUGGGCGAAAGCCUGACGGAGCAACGCCGCGUGAGGGAGGAAGGUCUUCGGAUCGUAAAACUCUGUUAUUAGGGAAGAACAAAUGUGUAAGUAACUAUGCACGUCUUGACGGUACCUAAUCAGAAAGCCACGGCUAACUACGUG